UAGGGAAUAUUGGACAAUGGGUGAGAGCCUGAUCCAGCCAUGCCGCGUGCAGGAAGAAGGCGUUAUGCGUUGUAAACUGCUUUUUGCCAGGGGAUAAAAAGACCGUGCGCGGUUAAUUGAAGGUACCUGGUGAAUAAGCCACGGCUAACUACGUGCCAGCAGCCGCGGUAAUACGUAGGUGGCAAGCGUUGUCCGGAUUUAUUGGGUUUAAAGGGUGCGUAGGUGGCCCUGUAAGUCAGUGGUGAAAUAUCUCAGCUUAACUGAGAGGGUGCCGUUGAUACUGCAGGGCUUGAGUACAGAUGAGGUAGGCGGAAUUGACGGUGUAGCGGUGAAAUGCAUAGAUAUCGUCAAGAACACCGAUAGCGAAGGCAGCUUACCAAGCUGUAACUGACACUGAGGCACGAAAGUGUGGGGAUCAAACAGGAUUAGAUACCCGGGUAGUCCCUGAGCGGGCUGGCAAGGCGCAU
rnacentral:rRNA from 1 species